UGCGGCUGGAUCACCUCCUUUCUAAGGAAACGAAUGAAGUAAGGAGUUGUAUUACUGUUUAGAUGCUAAGGUGCAUCAAAAAUUUCUGGUGGCGAUGCGUUUAGGGGACACACCCGUUCCCAUCCCGAACACGACGGUUAAGACCUAAGCGGCCGAAAGUACUAUACUGGAGACGGUAUGGGAGGAUAGGAGGCUGCCAGAUUAAAAAAAGAAAUAACGCUUUAGUAGCGAUGAGAGAAUAAAAAAGAAUUUUGUUCUCUGAUGACUACUAAACCGUAGUCAAGAAGUAAUUGUUCCUUGAAAACCGAAUACUGAAACACAUCUAAUUAUCAGAUAACGAUAAAUAGACAUCGAAAGCAAAUCCAAAAACAAUGAAUGGUUUUAUCUGUAUAAUCGCUAUGCAGGUAAAGCAAAGAGCCCAUCAAAAGAUGGACUUCAUGAGAAAUCAUGUGAGAACAAAGGUUAUUGGACCUAAUGUUCCUAUAUUAAGCUUAAUGAGUAAAGAUAGACCGCAAUGCUGGUCAUACGCCAAAUGCUUCGCAUUCGUCGUAUGAAGUGCUUCGCACUAUAAUAACCAGCAACAGCAGUCAAAAGAAUGUAAACAUUCUUUUGUAGGCCAUUGCAGUUUAUUGCAUUGCUCAUGU
rnacentral:misc_RNA from 1 species